rnacentral:rRNA from 1 species
GAUGAACGCUGGCGGCGUGCCUAAUACAUGCAAGUCGAGCGAACAGACGAGGAGCUUGCUCCUCUGACGUUAGCGGCGGACGGGUGAGUAACACGUGGAUACCCUACCUAUAAGACUGGUAUAACUUCGGGAAACCGGAGCUAAUACCGUAUAAUAUAUUGAACCGCAUGGUUCAAUAGUGAAAGACGGUUUUGCUGUCACUUAUAGAUGGAUCCGCGCCGCAUUAGCUAGUUGGUAAGGUAACGGCUUACCAAGGCAACGAUGCGUAGCCGACCUGAGAGGGUGAUAGGCCACACUGGAACUGAGACACGGUCCAGACUCCUAAGGGAGGCAGCAGUAGGGAAUCUUCCGCAAUGGGCGAAAGCCUGACGGAGCAACGCCGCGUGAGUGAUGAAGGUCUUCGGAUCGUAAAACUCUGUUAUUAGGGAAGAACAAAUGUGUAAGUAACUAUGCACGUCUUGACGGUACCUAAUCAGAAAGCCACGGCUAACUACGUG